AUGCUCAGAUCCAGCGGUGUGGGAUUUCGUAUCCGUUCCCCAUUCACCAUGGAGGAGCGGAGGGGUAGACUCCAGAACUUAACCACCCUUUGUCAAAGGGGGCGUGAGGUGGGUGAUCUGGCUCAAGCGUUUUGGACUAUGGUGGUAGGGCUGGGGUAUAACGAUGGGGCACUAAAGGUUUUUUUUAAUGACUGCCUGGAUGACCCUUUGCCUCGGUGGGAGAUGAAGGGGCUGGAGAUCCUAGACUUUUGGGGGUUCACCAAUUACCUGCGCCAUCGUGCUCAGUGGGAUGCAGUAACCACACCUGAGUCUCCAGACAAGACUGCCGCCAGCCCAGCGCCACAGCACAAGAUGGCCGCCAGACCAACACCACAGCACAAGAUGCCAUUGCACAAGAUGGCCGAAUCUACACCUGUGUUGCCAGACAAGAUGGCUGACUCAACGCCUGAGUCUCCCGUCAAGGUGCCACCGACUCGCCAUCAUAGAGGGCGGAGGAGGAGAAAGGCGUCUACCGUUCCUCAAAGCACGGAGGAAGUUCCCGAGCAGGCCGCUGCCGUCCAGGAGGACGUUCCCGAGCAGGCCGCUGCCGUCCAGGAGGACGUUCCCGAGCAGGCCGCUGUCGUCCAGGUGGACGUGCCCGAGGUUCCCGAGGCGGGGCUCGAGGUGGUUCUGGAUGCCGAUGCGGUGCCCGAGGCUGUGCCCGAUGCCGAGGCGGUGCCCGAGGCUGUGUCCGAGGCCGAGGCGGUGCCCGAUGCCGAGGCGGUGCCCGAUGCGGUGGCCGAGGCGGUUCCCGAUGCAAUGUCCGAGGCAGAGGCGGUUCCCGAUGCGAUGGCCGAGGCGGUGGUCGAGGCAGAGGCGGUUCCCGAUGCGAUGGCAGAGGCGGUGCCCGAUGCCGUUCCGCAGGUCGAGGCGGUGCCCGAGGCCGUUCCGCAGGUCGAGGCGGUGCCCGAUGUUGUUCCAGAGACCGAGGUGGUGCCCGAGUUGCUUCCAGAGACCGAGGCGGUGCCCGAUGCGCAGGCCGAGAUCGUUCCCGAGGCGGUGGCCGAUGCGCAGGCCGAGGUCGUUCCUGAGGUGGUGUCCGAUGCAGAGGUCGUUCCCGAGGCGGUGCCCUUGCCCGAGGCCGUGCCCGAGGCCGUGCCCGAGGCCGUGCCCGAGGCCGUUCCUGAGACCGUUCCCGAGGCGGUGUCCUGGUCCGAUGCCGUUCCUGAGGCCAUUCCAGAGGCGGUGGCCGAUGCUGUUCCGGAGGCCGAUGCGGGGCCCAAGUGGCUCCGGAGGCGAUACCCGUGUCCAAGGCCGUUCCCGAGGCGGUGCCCUUGUCUGAGGUCGUUCCUGAUGCCGUUCCCAAUGCCGUGA
ensembl:lncRNA